ACCCGCUGAACUUAAGCAUAUCAAUAAGCGGAGGAAAAGGAACCAACAGGGAUUGCCCUAGUAACGGCGAGUGAAGCGGCAACAGCUCAAAUUUGAAAUCUGGCGUCUUUGGCGUCCGAGUUGUAAUUUGCAGAGGGCGCUUUGGCAUUGGCAGCGGUCCAAGUUCCUUGGAACAGGACGUCACAGAGGGUGAGAAUCCCGUACGUGGUCGCUAGCCUUUACCGUGUAAAGCCCCUUCGACGAGUCGAGUUGUUUGGGAAUGCAGCUCUAAAUGGGAGGUAAAUUUCUUCUAAAGCUAAAUACUGGCCAGAGACCGAUAGCGCACAAGUAGAGUGAUCGAAAGAUGAAAAGCACUUUGGAAAGAGAGUUAAAAAGCACGUGAAAUUGUUGAAAGGGAAGCGCUUGCAGCCAGACUUGCCUGUAGUUGCUCAUCCGGGUUUCUACCCGGUGCACUCUUCUAUAGGCAGGCCAGCAUCAGUUUGGGCGGUUGGAUAAAGGUCUCUGUCAUGUACCUCUCUUCGGGGAGAACUUAUAGGGGAGACGACAUGCAACCAGCCUGGACUGAGGUCCGCGCAUCUGCUAGGAUGCUGGCGUAAUGGCUGU
rnacentral:rRNA from 1 species